rnacentral:rRNA from 1 species
UGGGGAAUUUUGGACAAUGGGCGCAAGCCUGAUCCAGCAAUGCCGCGUGAGUGAAGAAGGCCCUCGGGUUGUAAAGCUCUUUUGUCAGGGAAGAAAAGGUGAUCUCUAAUACAGGUCACUCAUGACGGUACCUGAAGAAUAAGCACCGGCUAACUACGUGCCAGCAGCCGCGGUAAUACGUAGGGUGCAAGCGUUAAUCGGAAUUACUGGGCGUAAAGCGUGCGCAGGCGGUUAUAUAAGUCAGAUGUGAAAUCCCCGGGCUCAACCUGGGAACUGCAUUUGAGACUGUAUGGCUAGAGUGUGUCAGAGGGGGGUAGAAUUCCACGUGUAGCAGUGAAAUGCGUAGAUAUGUGGAGGAAUACCGAUGGCGAAGGCAGCCCCCUGGGAUAACACUGACGCAUGCACGAAAGCGUGGGGAGCAAACA